rnacentral:tRNA from 1 species
GGAGGAUUCGCCUAGUGGCCUAGGGCGCACGCUUGGAAAGCGUGUUGGGGGCAACCCCUCACGAGUUCGAAU